rnacentral:lncRNA from 1 species
UUCGACAGCGAAACCGACCGUAGCAGAGAAGAACUCAGGUGAAGCGCGACCGAUGGCGGCGUGACUCACACGCCGGGGAACCGUAUUCAACUCCCUCCACGCAAACAGAUACGUCCAUCUAACCUUAUCCGAUCCAUCAAAUGGGGGUCAGGAAGGAUUUAGAUGGAAAAGGAUGGCGAUCGAGUGCAUACCUAAAUAUGAUGGCAAUGGAUUGGAUUGGCCCCCAAUAAUUGGGAGACGCAGAAAUAUCGGAGCACAAGUGGGAAUGUGGCGGAGUGCGACUGGUUAUGGGACGGUGGCAAGGGGGGAUAUUGGACCAUACAAGACGUGGCGUCGUCUGCUUGAAGGAAGGGAGAUGGGCGAUGGCACCGUGUGAGAGCCACCUUCGCUGCCAACGACGACGCCACAGAAAACCAAAUGAAGAGCGCGUCGAGGCCAUGAUGGUUCCCCUACCUCGGGGGACGGAGAGAGGGUGGACUCUCCGCCCCGUGUCGCACCUCCCUACCUCGGGACGGAGACAGUCAACUCUUUC